AAUUUCUUUCAUGCAAUCCCUGUUCUAGGUUCAAGUUAAUUUCUAUUUUCUUUUUAUGAAAUCUUUUAAUUUUUUUUUAUGUAAUACAUUAAAUCUUCCUUUAUGUAAUUUGUGUUCACUUCAAUCUUCUUGUUUUCAUCCAUUUUAAUUUAUGCCAAAGCUUUUCUUUGAUUAGUUAAACAUAUAAAUGCUUUUCGAAUUUAAAUACCUGUCUUUUAGUUAAUUUCAAUUAAAAAAAUAUUCUCCGGUAGACUAGAGAAUCCAUCAACAUCCUCAAAAUAAUGUUUUUCUUUUAUCAUUCAAAAAUCAAUUUCAAAUCCGAGUGAACGUUCUAAUUUUUAUGCAACUCCAA
rnacentral:lncRNA from 1 species